rnacentral:rRNA from 1 species
CGACGCCGUGUGACUGAUGAAGCUUUCGGGAUGUAAAGGCCUUUUUUGGGGGAAGAAGGAUGUGACGGUACCCCAAGAAUAAGCCCCGGCUAACUACGUGC